rnacentral:rRNA from 1 species
GAUAAACGCUAGCGGCAGGCUUAACACAUGCAAGUCGAGGGGCAGCAUAGAUUGUAGCAAUACAAUUGGUGGCGACCGGCGCACGGGUGCGUAACGCGUAUGCAACCUACCCGUCACAGGGGGAUGAUCCGGAGAAAUCUGGUCUAAUACCCCAUAACAUAUGGAUCGGCAUCGGUUCAUGUUGAAAUUUUUGGAGGUGACGGAUGGGCAUGCGUAGCAUUAGCUUGUUGGUGAGGUAACGGCUCACCAAGGCGACGAUGCUUAGGGGGACUGAGAGGUUUUCCCCCCACACUGGUACUGAGACACGGACCAGACUCCUACGGGAGGCAGCAGUGAGGAAUAUUGGUCAAUGGGCGCAAGCCUGAACCAGCCAUGCCGCGUGCAGGAUGACGGCUCUAUGAGUUGUAAACUGCUUUUGUACGAGGGUAAAGUGGGUUACGUGUAACCUUUUGAAAGUAUCGUACGAAUAAGGAUCGGCUAACUCCGUGCCAGCCGCCGCGGUAA